rnacentral:lncRNA from 1 species
CUGCAGGCAUGGAUAAUCAUAAUGCCAGAGUUGGGGAUCCACGCCAGUGCCUCUCAAGGUCCAAUCCAGCAUGAUCAUUCUAUCCGAAGGAAGAAAAUCUGCAAAAUGUGCAAUUCUCCAAAUUGGAUACAAUCAACUUUAGACCUUCAGAUUUUAACUGUAAAAAUGGACAGGAGUUGCAUGCAUCCUUUCAUUUUUAAGGACACGAUCACAUUUGUGUUGAUCUUUUGUUAGGAAAAAAAAGAAAAGAAAGAUCUUCAAACCAAUCCAUUUUUAUUUAAAAUCCUUAGACCUCUCCCGAUUUUUCCCAGUCAUCUUUAAGAACAAAGUCCAGUGUUUCCUCUCUGAUUAUUGCAAGUAAGUAACUUAGCUCACAAGAUGCCAGCUGCAAAGGGACACUCUCUCAGGCUCAGGCGUCCCAGGAAUAAUGAGCACAAUGUAGCCCCGGCCCAGCUGCAGGCCAGCCUUUGGGACCCUCCAUCUUUAGACAGAACUUGUUCUUUUUUCCUAAAAGCUCUCAAGUUGUGCUUGUAUAACUUUGGGUUUGGGGAGGGAAAGAGGCAGG